rnacentral:misc_RNA from 1 species
AAGUCGUAACAAGGUUUCCGUAGCAUAAGUCUAUGAAGAACAGUGAUGUUCCUUCCGCAGAGUACACUUGCAGAAGCCUUAGUAGCCUGAAAAGGUUUUAUCAGCGACUCUAAACAAUUAGGUGAAUUAAAUGCUAGUCUCUUAGGAGGCAACACUAUCAAAUUGCGGGAAGAUCCUGUCAGGUCCAUAUCACCGCGGCUCACCGAAAGGUGCAGUGCAGCACCAGGCUAAUAACCUUGGGUGUGGUAAUAGUAUAUGGAAUAGGGAGAAUCUGC